rnacentral:rRNA from 1 species
AGAGAUGCACUGGGUGUAAAGCGUGCGCAGGCGGUUUUGUAAGACAGAGGUGAAAUCCCCGGGCUCAACCUGGGAACUGCCUUUGUGACUGCAAGGCUGGAGUGCGGCAGAGGGGGAUGGAAUUCCGCGUGUAGCAGUGAAAUGCGUAGAUAUGCGGAGGAACACCGAUGGCGAAGGCAAUCCCCUGGGCCUGCACUGACGCUCAUGCACGAAAGCGUGGGGAGCAAACA